rnacentral:lncRNA from 1 species
GAUAUCAUUCUCUGCAUUUUCAUUUUUCGCCCUUUUUUUCAUUUUUCGCCCUUUUUGAAGGGAACUGGAGAAGUCGACUUUGACCAAUUUUGCCUAUGUAUCAUUUGUCGUGCCAAUGAUUGAUUCUGUCACCAGAAUCUUUUAAAAUUCAGCUUAAAGCGCCAAUGAUUGAUUCUUAAAGAAUAUGUAUCAUUUUUAAAAUUCAAUUCAGCUUAAAGCUUAAACACACACGUUCUACUCUGGCACAAUGAUUUGUCGUGCCAAUGUCACCAGAAAAUGUUACGCUCUUAAACCACUCUAGUCUGGCACGCUUGUCGUGACUCAACGGUUCCAUCUCUAAACUUUGAAGCU